GAACGCGAAGAACCUUACCUGGCCUUGACAUAGUAGAGACUUUCCAGAGAUGGAUAGGUGCCUUCGGGAAUCUACAUACAGGUGCUGCAUGGCUGUCGUCAGCUCGUGUCGUGAGAUGUUGGGUUAAGUCCCGCAACGAGCGCAACCCUUUUCCUUACUUGCCAGCAUUUCGGAUGGGAACUUUAAGGAUACUGCCAGUGACAAACUGGAGGAAGGCGGGGACGACGUCAAGUCAUCAUGGCCCUUACGGCCAGGGCUACACACGUGCUACAAUGGUCGGUACAAAGGGUUGCUACACAGCGAUGUGAUGUUAAUCUCAAAAAGCCGAUCGUAGUCCGGAUCGCAGUCUGCAACUCGACUGCGUGAAGUCGGAAUCGCUAGUAAUCGCGGAUCAGAAUGCCGCGGUGAAUACGUUCCCGGGUCUUGUACACACC
rnacentral:rRNA from 1 species